AAAAAGACAAACCCUAAAUUUUCAUGUCAACGUUUGACUGUCCGUCUUAUAUGAUAAAACAUGAUUAAUACUUUGUGCGUGACUUAUUUUUUUAAUUUUUUUCAUAAUUUUUCAAAUAAGACGGACGGUCAAACGUUGGACACGGAAACUAAGGUUUGUCUUUUUU
rfam:Oryza nivara chromosome 6, whole genome shotgun sequence.